rnacentral:rRNA from 1 species
AGCAACGGCUAACUACGUGCCAGCAGCCGCGGUAAUACGUAGGUUGCAAGCGUUGUCCGGAUUUACUGGGUGUAAAGGGCGUGUAGGCGGAGAUGCAAGUCAGGAGUGAAAUCCCGGGGCUCAACCCYGGAACUGCUUUCGAAACUGUAUCCCUUGAGURUCGGAGAGGCAAGCGGAAUUCCUAGUGUAGCGGUGAAAUGCGUAGAUAUUAGGAGGAACACCAGUGGCGAAGGCGGCUUGCUGGACGACAACUGACGCUGAGGCGCGAAAGCGUGGGGAGCAAACAGGAUUAGAUACCCUGGUAGUCCACGCUGUAAACGAUGAAUACUAGGUGUGGGAGGACUGACCCCUUCCGUGCCGCAGUUAACACAAUAAGUAUUCCACCUGGGGAGUACGACCGCAAGGUUGAAACUCAAAGGAAUUGACGGGGGCCCGCACAAGCAGUGGAUUAUGUGGUUUAAUUCGACGCAACGCGAAGAACCUUACCAGGAYUUGACAUCCAACUAACGAAGUAGAGAUACAUUAGGUGCCCUUCGGGGAAAGUUGAGACAGGUGGUGCAUGGUUGUCGUCAGCUCGUGUCGUGAGAUGUUGGGUUAAGUCCCGCAACGAGCGCAACCCCUAUUGUUAGUUGCUACGCGAGAGCACUCUAGCRAGACUGCCGUUGACAAAACGGAGGAAGGCGGGGACGACGUCAAAUCAUCAUGCCCCUUAUGUCCUGGGCUACACACGUAAUACAAUGGCCGUCAACARAGGGAAGCAAWRCCGCGAGGCRGAGCAAAUCCCCAAAAACGGUCUCAGUUCGGAUUGCAGGCUGCAACUCGCCUGCAUGAAGCUGGAAUUGCUAGUAAUCGUGGAUCAGCAUGCCRCGGUGAAUACGUUCCCGGGCCUUGUACACACCGCCCGUCACACCAUGAGAGUCGGGAACACCCGAAGUCCGUAGUCUAACCGCAAGGAGGGCGCGGCCGAAG